AUACUGGAUACCUGAUGAAGUGUGUUGAUGCAGUCCAACGACCGAAUUAAUUUUGAUCCAGUCGUAGGACUGGAUCAACACACUUCAUCAGGUAUCCAGU